rnacentral:tRNA from 1 species
UAUAUAUUAGUGUAUUUUGCACCAAAAUUUUUGAAGUUUUUAGAAAUAAAUUAUUUAUUAUAUAUAU